rnacentral:sRNA from 1 species
AUUGCUUAGAGGCGGCUACCUGGAGCCGGAAGCGCGGCUGCAGCAGGGCGAGGCUCCAGGUGGGGUCGGUUCCGCAUCCAGCCUAGCGUGUCCACGAUGCGGCUGGGCUCCGGGACUUUCGCUACCUGUUGCGUAGCGAUCGAGGUGCUAGGGAUCGCGGUCUUCCUUCGGGGAUUCUUCCCGGCUCCCGUUCGUUCCUCUGCCAGAGCGGAACACGGAGCGGAGCCCCCAGCGCCCGAACCCUCGGCUGGAGUCAGUUCUAACUGGACCACGCUGCCACCACCUCUCUUCAGUAAAGUUGUUAUUGUUCUGAUAGAUGCCUUGAGAGAUGAUUUUGUGUUUGGGUCAAAGGGUGUGAAAUUUAUGCCCUACACAACUUACCUUGUGGAAAAAGGAGCAUCUCACAGUUUUGUGGCUGAAGCAAAGCCACCUACAGUUACUAUGCCUCGAAUCAAGCCCCAUUUGCAGAUGCUUGGCAGAUGUUCACUGGAUGAAAGCAGUCUGAGACUGAAGGAAGCACAGUGCCAUAUCACUCACUGACUUUUUCCUUGAAUUUCUUACUCUCUCUGCCGCAUUUCAAUGUGAUGUGACUUCCUUCAGCAAUAUUUAUUGAGCAUCUACUGUGUGCCACACUGUUCCAGACAGGAGGGAGGCAGUGAAGAACAAGACAGCAUUGUCCUCAUGGAGCUUACUUUCUAACUGGAGGGAUAGAAAAUCGGUAAAAUAUGAAUCAAUGAAGAUCGUUUCAGACAGUGACAACUGCUCUGGAAGGAAUGGAGAGGGAGGUGAGAGAGAAUGAAGGGGAGAGGGUCAGGCACCUUUGAACACAGCACUCAGAGUUUCUGCCGUCCUGCUGAAACUAGCUGUGGGAAUCUGGAAGAAAGACAUCCAGGCCCCUGAUCUUCAGGAACACCGAUUUCUUUAUCUGCUCUAUCAGAAGUGUGGAAGGAACCCUUUUCUCCUUUUCUUUUAAGAUUUAACAGGCAGAUUUGAGAAAAUGUAUAAGUGAUUGUGCAGGUUCUAGGUUCUAUUCAGACCAGUCCGUUGGCACUGUGGUUCUUGGGGCCUCUGUCUCCAGCUUAUUGGUUUUAUUUCACCUUUGCUGGGGAGCCUCACCCCAGAGCUAGUGUUUUGUUUCAUUUUCAGUCCUUUGAGGAUUCUUGCUCCUUAUUUCCCCAUCAGGGA